UGCACAACCAAAGACACUUUCAUCUGGUCCUUCUUUUUUGCUAUGGGUUUGGAUUUGGUUGGGUUGCAGUGGUUUUGCAAAACCAUAUACUGUAAGUCCCAUUUAUCGCUAGUAUGGGCUCCUAUAACGUAGUUUGGCUGCAUUAAACUGUAUCAUAGACAAAAAAUUCUGCCCAUGACUGGUCUAGACUGACCAUAUCGCGCAGAUGCAUUAGAUGGCAGUCUAUAGGGGCCACGGACUCAAAAACGCUCCUUUUUCUACGCUUGUCACCUGCAAGAAGAAUCUGGGGAGGUCGCCUUGGAAAAUAAAUGCAUGCCCCGAAGCCUUUAUUUUGUUUUAUACUAAAUGCUAAACCAUUCAAAUGCGUCAAUAGCGGCUCGCAUUACCGAGCGGCCCACAAUGCAUCCCGACAGCUCUACCUGUUCGGGAAUGUAUUUAGCACCGUAUUUCAAAGCGUUGCAACAUGCCAACAUGCAAAUUAAAUUCUUCACUCCAAACGUCAACAGCGAGGUGGUUUCCUGCCAUCCUGCGGAUCUGCAAUAGUUGUACGGCGGGGCUUCUCUCGUCUCUCUCCUUUCCAAACACACGUCAUCUCACAAAUGAACAAGGAGUUGGCCUGGAACACCCUCAUUCCAAAAACUAUCCAUGCCGCAGACCUUUGCAAAAAAAGGCCAUGUGGGUUUUGUCUUCUGCCACAGUUGCCAAUCCAGAUGGAUUGGGUGAGCUCCCUCUGUCAGCUCCAGCUCCAUGCAGGGACAUGAGAGAAGCCUCUCACAAGGACUCGGUGUCACAAGUGGACAAUGAAGCGGCAGCUCCCCCUGUGGCCGGAAUCGAGAAUACCCUCAUGAAGCCGGAAGCUGGAAAAUGUUAAAUUGCCUCUGUGUCUCUCUGCCCGUCUAUAUGUCGUAUGUUUCAUUACAUUGAAUGUUUGUCAUGCAUGUGUGCAAUGUGAUUCUCCAAAAUGAGAAUCAUUAUGCAGGAAAAUGCCAAGGAAGAUGCUACUCUAUGAUUCUAUGAUUCUAUGAUUCUACAUACCAUAGCUUGUUGUACAUGGAAAUAAAGGUAGUAACAAGAAAUAGUAACAAUAUAAUAACUUUAUUCUUGUAUCCCACCUCCAUCUCCCAGAAGGGACUCAGGGCAGCUUACACAGGGACAAGCCCAACAACAACAUAAAUUUACAUACAAACAGAAAUUUAAAACAGUAAUUUAAAAUAGCCAUAAAAUAGAAUACAGAAAUUCUUGAAAGGAUUCACAGUUUGGUUAUGCUGGUUUGUGAUGACAACUACUGUACAGUAGAUAAUACAUUUUCAUUUUUAAACAAUUCAACCAUAAAUGUGAAUUCUUCUUUGUGGAAAAAUAAGACAUCCCCUGAAAAUAAGACCUAGUGCAUCUUUGGGAGCAAAAAUUAAUAUAAGACACUGUCUUAUUUUCGGGGAAACAGGGUAUUAGCCAUGCACGUUCAUACGGAUUGUUGUCUUUUACAAAUUAGAUGAGCACAAACAGAGGAGAAGAACGGCCAAAGGAAUCGAGGGAAAGAAGAAAGGACGGACGCACGCACGCACGCACGCACGCACGCCAGGUUCAUUGAGCCAAGUGGCUCCUUUUGUGUUAAUAAAUUGCUACUUUCCUCUCUGAUUAAUUUCCUCGUUCAAACAGCCAGGAAAUCAAAAGGAGAGGUUUUAGAGCACUCGAUGAACUCUGCGGAGAUACCGGGAGACUUGGACAAAUAAUCGCAUAAAAUGGUUUAUGAAACCAGAGGGUUUAUGGUCUAUAAAUAACCUCCGUGCAGUUUCUAUUCUUUACACGUACAGUGUGACAGAGAACUGGAUGUUCGCUUUUCACGAGUCCUUCCCUGUACACACAUCAGGUAACGACAAUAUUGAGCCUGAAACGACCGGCUCUUGCAAG
rnacentral:lncRNA from 11 species